UUCUGCAUUCAUGUGAUUGUUGGAAAACAGUAUCGGUUUGAGCUGACCCGUUCUAACAACAUACGGAGCACCACAUCCUAAAGGGCCUUGGCAUGCGUCACAAGCUUCACAGUUACUGUCUCCUUGCCUUUGCUGCAUUCCUGGAGAAGGAUGAAGGAAGGUCACACAUGGGGAAACCUAUUGCACAGAUGGGAAAAAUGUGACCCCGAGAGCUAUCCCACCUCCACACUCAGAAUUUCUCUGCUCCGGCUGCUCUUGCUUAACCCAGACCCUUGAUGUGACUCAAAAGAGGCUCUACUUGACAACUGAAAAGGAACCAGGAAGAGGGCAAUACAAACAGAAGAAACAUUCUUCAAUUUAAAAAUAUGAUCAUCCUGAGGACAAGCCAACUGAAAAAUAAAGUGGAUUUAUAAAAUCCUUCAAAGAACAGUCUAUGCCUUUAAACUUUUCAUUUGAAGUACAUAUUUUUUUAAAAAUCAGCUACUCUCUUAAAUUUUAAGAAUGGUUGAUUUUCUGAAGAGUUGCAGAGAGGUGAACUUACAUUAUUGCACUGAUUUCUAUGUUUCAAAAACCCCAGCAAUUUGGAGGUCGAGUAAUUCAUAGACCGGGCAAUGGAUCUGGUGGGCUGACCCUAUCUCAAAGCUGUGACCUGCUGAUAAAGAUCAUUUAAGUCACCGCGACAGACGUGUGCAUUUAUGGUACUUUCCUGCCGAUAAGGAACCAAUAAAAUACCUUAUGGGACCUAU